GUUAGGUACACGUUUCUAAUGUUUAAUGUCGAGAUGUUUUAAACAUUAACACAUUACGGACUCUUGUACACGCUAAUAAUCGUACGUUUGUUUGUAAUAACAGCUGCAUAGCUCUUGCUAAGCUACUCUGUACGGCUAAUAAACAUUUCCCUAUUGUGAAGAUUGUGCUUGAAUAGUAUUAUAUCUACAACAUGAAGACGCUUACGAGGAAAUUGUUGCAACAAUAUAUAACUGCGGUCCGGGUGCAGCGCGCCUGUCAAAGUGGCUGACUGACUCCUGGCGACUUUGUUACGGCCAAAAGUAACUUUUGGAAUACUCCCAGACAGAGGGGGCUGACCCCCUUUCAGGGCUGUUUACACGCCACACGCACCAUCCCGUUGAGCCGGUGCCGUAUCUGCAGCAGGUGGUGCAGCGCCUGCUCGUUGGUGCGCUCGCCGCAGUCCAGCGCGCUGCGGCCGCGGCCCCACGACACCAGCGGGUCGUACACGAAC